rnacentral:tRNA from 1 species
CUCCCGCUAGCUCAAUGGAUAGAGCACCCGUUUCCUAGGCGGGUAGUCCGCGUUCGACUCGCGGGUGGGAGA